rnacentral:rRNA from 1 species
GACGUAGGGCGCGAGCGUUGUCCGAAGUUACUGGGCGUAAAGCGCGCGUAGGCGGUUUCUUAAGUCUGGGGUGAAAGGUUCAGCGCUCAACGCGAACAGUGCCUUGGAUACUGGGAGACUUGAGUCUGGGAGGGGGCAGUGGAAUUCCUGGUGUAGCGGUGAAAUGCGUAGAUAUCAGGAGGAACACCGGUGGCGAAGGCGGCUGCCUGGCCUAAGACUGACGCUGAGGUGCGAAAGCGAGGGGAGCGAACGGG